ensembl:lincRNA
GUAACACCAGCAUUAAAAGUGAAGUAUAUGAAAUCCUUGGAAUGGACAAUCCCCCUUCAGGUGCCAGUCUCUUCCACUCACCUGGGACCCCCCCCGCCUGCUGCCUGCUCCUGAUCUGCCUGGCCCUGGCCCAGCUCCUGCAGCUCCUAUGAGCAGACGUCUGGACCGAUGGACAGACGAAGAUGGAGCCACUGAACACGCUGGACGCUGGGACAUGGCAGGAAGUCGACUGGAAGGAGUUGGACUUUGCAUCAGGGCGCCCCCGCACGCACUUUUCCGAGGACAUUACCAAACAGAUUGUCUAGAGCUUCUGUAAAUAAAUUAUCACUAAAUAAAUAUUCUCUCCAAACCAUCCAGCUUUGUGAGUUCAAAUUCGCAACUGAGGUUUCAACUGUUGACUUCCCAUGCCCAUAUUCCCGACAGGCAGGAGAUUCAGCUUGCUUGUCCAAGUCUGGUGUUACAGCUGAAAGGGCACUGUGGGUAAGUGUUGUUGGCGUGGAGCAGAACGAGUUUGCACGAGACAUGUCAACCUUGGUCUGAAGCAUCCACUCAUCUCUUUCCUCACAGCUGCAACAAUUCAGGGUCGCGGGGGAGCUGGGGCCUAUCCCAGCAGGCAGGGGGGGGGGAAGACAGAACGGCAGUCAGAUAUGAACAAACACACUCGCACCAGGGCCAAUUUUCCCAGAAGCCAAUGAACUUCCCAGCAUGUCUUUGGACUGUUGGACGAAACCAGAGCGCCUGGAGGAAAAACCACGCAAACCCAGGGGGAACAUGCAAACUCCACACAGACAGCACCCCAGAUCCGGAAUGGAACCCUGUGAGGCAGGGAAGCUAACUGUGCUCAUGAAAUCUUUAAUUUGUGAAAAAGUGGAAGACAUGAGUUUUGCUCAGUAGGUCUAAGCGAAUGACUGCAGGACAUGCAGUAGGGGCGUCACACCUCCUGUUCCGCAGUAGCUCAAUCUGAAGAUGGGCCGAGCUUCACCUGUGGUUCUGGUAGGUCGGUCUCUUACUGGCAAAGCACAGUUAAAAAAAAGUCAAGUCAGACUGAAGCCACACCCCCCCCCCAGUCCACCCCCUCUCCUGCCUAUACACUCGCUGGCCCAAGGAGCUUGGCAGAGACACACAUUGUUUCAGACUCCCUCUGGAAACAUGAACAAGCAGACUCAUGGAUUAUCACUGCUACUGCUACUGCCACUGCUACUGCCCCUGUGCUGGGGGGGAGAAGAGAAUUCUACAGAAGAAACCAGCACCGUGUACGAAUAUGACUAUGACAGUGAUGUCAGCUAUGACCUGUUUGCUGUACUUAACACGGCACCUGGGAUCCCUCCAGCCUGCUCCGUGCUCCUGAUCUGCCUGGCCCUCUCCUACCUGUUUUAGUCUGGGAACAGGACUCUCGCGCUGUGCACAGGAACAGUUCAGAAGGACCCCGUUACGUUCUGUGCAAGAUACCCAGAAAUAGCGGGGGACCAACACGAAGAAUAUUCAUCAGCACUGCUCACCCAUACUAUGCACUGAAGACACCUGAAGACACACCCGAAGAAAAAGCCUCACCAGCUGGAAUACCUUUUUUUAAAAAACAAACACCCCUCUCAAGCAGGAAGUAUUUCAGUUUAAGCCAUAUUAUCAGCAAGAUCAUCACCUCUGCUUUAAUUAUGUUACGUUCAGAAGUUACUAUAUUCAGCUGUACUUGUUAAUAUAUAGUAUUGCUCAGUUCUUGCUUAGCCUUAGAUAACCUGGUAGAGUUACACAACAUCUGUCCACUGGCUACCCUGACUUACGAAUGUUACAUCUCCUUGUGUUAAUGAUGCCGAGCCAGCAGGGCCCCAAGCAGAUGUCAGCUCACCUCUUCAGCUUGCAACAUUAUUCUAAUAACACUUAUUUCCAUACUGAGCACAAUAAAACAGGACUUGCAUGCAAGGAUUAUUAGAUUAUAACUGGAUUGGGUUUAUUAAGGAAGAAAGAAAAGGAUCCGAAAUGGGAGAAUUUACUAGAUGCGUCUGGUCAUGUUGUUCCCAUGAUGCACUACAAAAUUGAUUUGUUUUUGUCAUCUUCGCUGAGAAAAUCUCUCUCCCGGGUUGUUUCGCAGAAAGCACAGGCUAAUCGACAUAGGGUGUCGUGACCAUUCUGAAGUUUCUGAAGUGCCUGUCUCACCCUCUUCCAGCAAAAGAUCAUCUAAAUAAUUUGCUAAUGAUUUUGUGCAGGUCUAGCUGUGACAUCGGAGGGAAAGAAAAGGUUUAAAAUAAAGUGUUUUAAUUAGAAAUAAAACCCGGAUCACCAAUCUGAUCUCAUUCACAAAUCUCUGUGAGAUUUGUCAAUUAAAACUUUAAUUUUUUAAGGAAACCAGCACAAUAAUUAUACUCCAGUGCCACCUUAAACCUACCCCCCAGAGAAGUUGAAAUGAUGGGCAUACAAUUUCCGAAUACAACACAGCCAAUCCUUAGACCUAACUAUUUUUGGUUUGCUAUAGAAUUUGGAUGUAUCGGAAAUUAAAGCAUCCUGUAUGUAAUAAAACAGUUUUAACAAUGUAAGAUGAUAAAAUCAAUAUGCAAUUCAAAGUUGCUUAUCACCAUAUAACAAAUUUAAAAAAAUUGGUUUGUGUCAUUAUGGUCUGAUAAUCAAUAAGCAUUUUUAUCGAGUGUAAUGCAAUUGUAUUUAAAUUGAUUCAAUAACCAUUUAAACAUAGCGAAUGCUGUGCAGUCAUUUACAAUUUGUAAUAUAUUUUAUAUUACAGCACCACAGUAUUGACUCUUUUUUUAAAUACAAAAACAUUUGAACUAAUGGACCAACAAGACAUUUGCGAGCUUUUUUGUCUCCUCCGUGCCAAACCCUUAUUUUAAACUUCAUGUGGCUGUGAAAAAUGAAUUGGAGUUCCUCUGGAGAUCCACUGGGGAGCGCCAGGGAGCUUUCAAAGAACUCCCGGGCAGGUGGUAGAACGACAACGUUGAGGAUAGAUACAAAAACAUGUCAAAGGCGUUAAAUGUUGAGUGGUCAAAACGAUUAUUGAGAAGUGGAGGAGAGUAAUAGGACAGCACAGUGGCACAGGGGUUGACACUGCUGCCUCGCAGUGCUGGGGUCCUGGGUUCAAUUCUGGACCUGUGGGGUGUCAUCUGUCUGGAGCUUGUAUGGUCUCCUCAUGUUUGCAAGAGUUUCCUCCCAUAUUCCAUAGAGAUACUGGUGGGUUCUGGGAAAAUUGGCUCUAGUGUGUGUGUG